AUAACCGCGGGAAACUGCGGCUAAUACCGAAUACGCCCUUAGGGGGAAAGAUUUAUCGCCAUCGGAUGGGCCCGCGUAGGAUUAGCUAGUUGGUGAGGUAACGGCUCACCAAGGCGACGAUCCUUAGCUGGUCUGAGAGGAUGAUCAGCCACACUGGGACUGAGACACGGCCCAGACUCCUACGGGAGGCAGCAGUGGGGAAUAUUGGACAAUGGGGGCAACCCUGAUCCAGCCAUGCCGCGUGAGUGAUGAAGGCCUUCGGGUUGUAAAGCUCUUUUGGCGGGGACGAUGAUGACGGUACCCGCAGAAUAAGCCCCGGCUAACUUCGUGCCAGCAGCCGCGGUAAGACGAAGGGGGCUAGCGUUGUUCGGAAUUACUGGGCGUAAAGGGCGCGUAGGCGGUCUUGUCAGUCAGGCGUGAAAGCCUGGGCUCACCUGGGAUUGUGCGCUUGAUACUGCAAGGCUUUGAGUGCAGGAGAGGCUGGUGGGAAUUCCCUAUUGUAGAGGUGAACUUCGUAGAUAUUGGGAAGAACACCGGUGGCGAAGGCGGCCAUCUGGACUGCAACUGACGCUGAGGCGCGAAAGCGUGGGGAGCAAACAGGAUUAGAUAUCCUGGUAGUCCACGCUGUAAACGAUGAGUGCUGGACGUUGGCGGGUUUACCUGCCGGUGUCGCAGCUAACGCGUUAAGCACUCCGCCUGGGGAG
rnacentral:rRNA from 1 species